UGGUGCUGAGUGCAGGGGGCAUGCACAGUACCCUGUUUUUGCUCCCGGCUCUUCAGAAGUGGCAGUUGGGUUUUGGGGGUCUUUUUGUAUCUCGUUGCCCAGAAUUUGCCCCAACGGCACAUGCACACAGUUAUUUUUAGUCCCUUAUAGUUUCUUUGUAUUUUGUUGCUCAAGGAGACGUUUGUCCAGGUGCAAGCACUGCAGCAAAGGGUCCCAGGGCCCAGAGCCCAGCCUGCCGGGUCCCAUAAAAGACUGUCCUUUGGGGUCGAUGAUGCCCAGACUGGGUGAGCCGGUCCCCUGAUCACGUGCUUGGGGGUCAGGGCAAAGUCAAGUUGCUAUAGAAACGGUGGUUUCUGUACUUUUGGCUGAGGCAGAGUUGCAAGCACAAACCUUUAGCAUUAUGAGCAGAACUGAAAAUUAUAAAGCUAUGUAUAAAAAUCCUUUUAACAAUGCUGAACCACGGGAGUCUGCUUUGUUACUUUACUAAGUGCAAUGAACAUAGUUUUCCUUUCCUUUGUAAUUGUUUCCUUUUCUUUCCAUUAUUCUCAAGGAUUGAAGCCAGUGCCGUGGCCUCAGAACCCUCUGAGACCAGGGGUGUGGCUGGCGCAGGAAGCAGAGGGAAUCUGUUCUGACCUCGGGCGGAGCCCCAUGCGUGCCUCACCGUAUCACUGAAUAUGUGCAGGACCGAGGGCCGGGAGGGGGAGGCUCAUCCUCUCCAGUCGAAAGCAAAGGGCAAAGCCCAAGCAGCAGGCGUUUCAGAAGCCCUCCAGGUGGUUCCCAUCUGCAACCAGAUGGUUUGAAAACCAUCGCACCUGGCCAGGGGGCAGUCCCCGGGCGAGUCUAGAAGCUGGAGAAGUACGAAACAGGCGCCGGGCAGCGGAGGAGGAGACGAGAAACCCGGGUGGAGGCGGGCGGGGAGACAAAGCCUGAAGUGACCUUUUGGAGAGGAGGUGACCAGGGUUUAAGGAGAGGCGGGGCAGAUUUGGAAAGAUGGAGGUCAGUUUGGGAUUUGGAAGGGUUGCUGCCGACUCAGUCCAUCAGAGGGAGGUGAGCCGGGCAUCGAGGGUGCAGGUUUCCUGGCCGUCGCUGUGAGUGGGGAACCUGGGCUUUGGCAGCUGGGCUGGGGGGCUCCUGUUAGCAGUUUAGAACGUGAGGGCUGGUAGGCAAACGUGAGUUUUAAAGUGACUGGGGAAGGACCCCUGGUUCUGCAGAUACUGGGGACGGCAGAAGGCAGCGUCUCAGUAACGUUCAGCUCCGGAAAGUUAAACCCAGAGAGGCCACACGUGGUUCUGCUCACCCCUUCCCAGAGGCUGACAGUUCCUCCUAAGGCCGAGAGUUUUGCUGGUUCGUUGUCUGUGGGCUGGUAGGAGAGAGUGAAUGGCAACCUCAGGACAGGAGCUCGACAGGCACAGGUCCAGCCUGGGAAGGGUUAGCUUUGAGGUUGUGGAGCCGGCAUGAGGCACGAGUCCCACACGACCCUGAUAGAGCCCCCAGCCCCAAGUUUCCUGUGUCCUUCCUGAAGAUCAGAAGGGACAGAACAUGAGGUGGGAGAGGACAGAUCAGGGAGCAGACACUGAACAGAGGUGCUGUAGAGGGUUCGCCAUAUUCUGCGUUCGCUCCUUACGUGGGCUCUUGUGCGCCCACCCCAGCCGGUGCCGCGGAGUGUUGGUGCAGGAAGACCUUUGGGAAGAGAGUAAAGCAUCGUGCGGGAAUCUGCGCGCCGAACCAGUGCUGGGCCUCGGGCCUGGGGUGGUCAGCAGUGAGUUGAAGGUGUUCCCUUUGGACCUUAGAGCUGAGCUCAUAAUUAUGGGAUGAGUUCUCGGGCGCUGUUCCAAGUUUUAGAUGCUUUAACUCAUUAGUUACAUGUAAUAACUCACCUAACGAGUUAAAAUAAUGGCUCCGUGCCAACUAUUAGGUUAAAUGUUGAUGCAAUUAUGUUAAUUGUGAAUGGAAGGUAAAAUAAAAACAU